rnacentral:snRNA from 1 species
GGAAGCGUGUGCUAGCAAUGGCGCAACUGAACAUUGAUCGCUGACGGUAUUAUUAUAUAGGUAUGGCAGAUCUGCUCAGGGGUGCAGCGAAUAGCUUGGAUUUACGGCUCCCGAUGCGCUCUGCGGGAUAGGCCGAAAUUUCGGUCUAGCCCAACGUGGAGCCCGCACGGUUGAGUCCUAUAUACGUCGCUCCUCAAACUACCGCGAUUUUCUUAAUUGGUGGGGGGCGAUUUCAAAUAUAACUCAUAAACGAGGUAAUUCUUCGCUUCCAUAUACACGGCACUGCAGUUCGCAGUAUGCCCUGUUUUUUUU